AUCAUUUAGAGGAAGGAGAAGUCGUAACAAGGUUUCCGUAGCUGAACCUGCGGAAGGAUCAUUAUCGAGCCUCUGCACAGCAGAACGACCCGCGAACACGUUAGUACACACGCCCGGGGCGGGAGAGGGUGUGAGCCCUUCCACCCACCCCAUCCACCGCUUGGGGAGGCGUCCGUCUGGCUCGGCCACUCCUCGUGAGCGCCAAGGAAAAUCAUACAUAGCAGCGAAUGCUCCCCCCCUCGGCCCGGUCAUCGGGCUUGUCGGGGGGGCCGUCGUGGCCAGUUUGUCUAAACCUAAACGACUCUCGGCAAUGGAUAUCUAGGCUCUCGCAUCGAUGAAGAACGUAGCAAAAUGUGAUACUUGGUGUGAAUUACAGAAUCCCGUGAAUCAUCGAGUCUUUGAAUGCAAGUUGCGCCCGAAGCCAUCAGGCCGAGGGCAUGCUUACCUGGGCGUCUCGCACUCGUCGCCCCCUACUCCCCUCGUUCUCUCGGGGGAGAGGUGCUCGGGGGCGGAUAUUGGCCUCCCGGGGACGCUCGCGUGCGCGGCUGGCCCAAAAAAUGGUGCCGAGGUGACUCGCGCCACGACAAUCAAUGGUAGAAAAGCUAGCUCCCUGUCAUGCGCGGCGCGUCGUCCCUGGCGGAGGGAAAGACCCUAGACACUCGAUCGCGACCCCAGGUCAGGCGAGACUACCCACUGAGUUUAAGCAUAUCAAUAA
rnacentral:misc_RNA from 1 species